GGCUUGGGUCACAUGAUGGCCUAGACCAAUCACCGGGCAAGUGGCACAAGAUUGGCACGACGGCUCAGCCAAUCAUAAAAAGCUAUGGGCAGGGCCAAGGCUGCUCCUCUCUGAGGACUUCCAGGCUCCCCACGGGAUGCGCUUCUGGAGCAGGUAUAGUGGAAAGAAUGUUCCAGAAGUCCCCAUGCCGCCCCAGGGGCAGCUCUGGGACGCACUAGGAGACCUGCCCCAGAACCACCGUGGUUCGCUCCUGCCUGCACACUGUCUCCCCUGGCCUGUGGAGACCGGGUGGAUGCCGUGGUAGCCUCAGCCGCACAAUAGCGGGGUGUGGAAAAUCGGGGUGUGGGGGCGGGAAAUGGGGAGAGACAGACCGCAGGAGAAUCGGAGUGGGGGGGAGAGGAAGGACCUGGGGACAGGGCGGGACAGGCAGGAGUCAGGCCAAGGCCAGAUGUGCACACGGACUCUCCACGAAGCCAGAUGAGCGCGGAUGAAGAUGCCCACUUGGGCGGGGCUUCCCAGAAGGGUGACAGGGCGGCUGGCCACCCCCAUGCUGGUGUGUGGACGGUGUCACCCUCCUGAUGUCUGCGUCGGAGCCUGGGAUCCAAACAGGAAGCGUGUCAUUGUCAGUCUUGCCACCGCUCGCCCCCUUGCUGCCGCAGUAACACGUCACCUGUCGGAGGCCGAGCACCGAGGCGUCUACUUCUCACCGGUGCCGGGUCCAGCACGCAGGGACGUGGCAAUAGAACAAGAAGCCCGUUUGCACGCGUUGGAAGCACCGGUGUGACUGUGAGGUUGUCGUUGCCUCCUCGCGGACCAGCCUCACGGUGCGAAGCCGCGGACGGUCGCGGCUCCACCCCGGCCUGGACCCGCAGCCUGCAGCCCAAGGUCACCAGCAGAGUCUUCUUUCCCACGCAGGGAGCAGCCGUCCUGUCCGCCGCCUCCUCCCUCGGCACCGCGUGCCUGAGCCAGCAUUCCGUCCGAGUGUUGUUGCACCUUCCUUCCUGGACUUGCCUGGGUCACGCACUCAUCCCCGAACAGGCACGGCGGCCUGAGGGAGGCAGCGCGCUGUUAACUCAGGCCACGUAACGGGUUGCUUCCCAGCCACGGAUGGAGUCAACUUCGACUUACGUGGGCUGCAGGAGCUAAUCUCCAGGGACACACGUGGACCCUCGCCAGCCCAGGGAUCGUGCCUCGGGAUCUACAGAACACGGCUCACGGACUUGUCUUCAUCUUCCCUAGCUCCCCCGGUUGCUGAGGCAGUGGAUUUCAAAGACCCUGUGAUGCCUUCACUGCAGCUACAGUUCAGGGUGUUUCUGAAACGCCUGUUGACUCUGAGGUUGUGAUCUUACUGAGACAGUUACCGAGGAGAAGGCAAGUAGGCAUGAUAAGAGAGAGAAGUUAAAGAAGAAGUUUUGCAAGGAGCUUCAAUGCAGUUCCAUCCACACGUUCAUUCUGUUCCAUCCCACCCCUUCCACUCACUUCACCCAUUCCAUUCCAUGCACUCCGUUCCAUCCCUCUGAUGAUUGUUAAUGUCUUGCCACAUCCAGACACCAAAUCUAUGCAAGUGCCCCUUUUGUCUCUAUAGUAGUCACCCUUCCGUCCCCAUCUCUGAGAAGACCACAGCCACUGGUCGAGUCAUAGAUGGUCGACUGCACUCAGGACGAUGAGGACUGUCACUCUCACUGCCAUCUCCCGUUCCAGCCUCCCUGGGUCCAUACUUGAGGACCUUUCCUCCCCACGACACUCAUUGGAGCAUAAUUCCCUGGAGAUUCAUCCAAAUUUUUGCAUACGUCAGCAAUUCAUUCCUUUCCAUCAUUGCACAGUGUUCCACGGCCCGGGUGUAGUUUGUUGGGCCAUUCACCCGUUGAAGGACAGCAGGGCUGUCUCGGGUUUUGGGGCUGUUAUGAAUAGAGCUGCUGGAAACAUUCACGUGCAGUUUCCUGUAGGAACAUUUCUUCUCUCUGGGAGAAACGCCCAAGAGCGCAGUCGUGGGAUCGUGUGGUUGUAGGUGUAGUUUUAUAUGAAACUGCCAAACUGGUUUCCACGGCAGCUGUACCAUGACACGUUCCCGCCAGCAACGUGUGACUGACCUGAUUCCCCACCUUCUAAGUAUUUGCUGUUCUCACUUGCAACUUUCUAUUUUAGCCGUUCCGAUAGAUGUGUCGUUUUCGUUUGCAUUUUCCUGAUGGGUAGUGAUGUGGAGCAUCUUUUCAUGGGUUUAUUUGCCAUUCAUACGUCCUCUUUGGUGACACGUCUGUUCCUGUGGUUUGUGCACUCUCUAAUAGGAUUGUUUGUAUUUUCACUGGUUAACUCUGAGAGUUGUUAACGUAUUCCGGACAUUAUUUCUUUGUCAGAUGUACGGUUUGCCAGUGUUUCCUUCCAGCCUGUAGCUUGUCUCUCCGUCCUCUUCACAUGGGCUCAUGCAGAGCUGAGGUUUUCCGUUUGGGUGAGGUUCCCUCCUAGACAGCCCACUUCUAACCUGUUGACUUGACCUCCAAACUUUCCCGGUCUCCACCCACCUUUCUCCAUCUCCAUGGGUGCCUUCUAAAGCUGUGUGCUGUGGGCUACUCCUCCCAUAGUCCCGGUGGCCCUCCCUUCUCCACCCUGGAGGUGUUGGUAGAACCUCCCAGAGAAGGCCUCCUACAGACCCUCCCUGCAGGCAGACGCAGCCCAUCUCACGCCCUCCGCCAGGCAUCAGACGAGGCGGCUGAUGGCUUCCGAAACAGACAUGUCAGAAUUUGCCAUUUGUAGUCAGUUGCCAGUGGACUUUAGAACCUAGGUGUCAUGUUUUUGCCUCGUUUAAAGUUUCUUUUUUAUUAUCCUGAGUUUUAUUUUGAGAGAUGGCAGGAAAUUGUCAUAUUAUCAUUAGAGGAACGUAUUCUGUUCUCGUUUUGGCCAGUUACAUGCGUUCCUCUACGUUAGUCUCGUUUUUCUUUUCUUUGGUGGCAGUGAUGGGCAUAGUGAAUUUAGGCAUUUAUAAACCAUUGCUUGCUGGAGUUUCUUUGUUAGCUUCUUAAUUCUCAUCGUCUGGGAGCAGGAAACUUCAUAACAGGAAUAGUGAGGCUUUCCCGUAGGCUAAGAUCUAGAUCAGCCACUGGGACCAGCGUCCUCUGCAGACCGCACAAGCGGCCUGCACGCACCCCGGCCAGUAGCUGCCGGCUGUCACAGUUCAGACAGGAUGUUAGCAGAGGAGAACGUGGAGUAAGGUGGAGUCUCCCGUUUCUGGUGCAGGCGAUCUGGAGGCAAGACAGCAGUUAUUAGAGAGAUUUUUUUUUUUUUUUAACCAGCGGAAAAUUUCUUCUGUCUUUCCUCACAGCGUGGGAGAUUCCAGACUUCAGCAUCAGAAAUGUAUUUGAACCCACCAGUCUCAGUAGUGUAUUUGUCACAAAUGGGGCUAAACCCACCAGCACGGCCAAGUUACAUCUGGGUAAUGAGCCAAGAGUCUGCUCUUCCCACUGAAAGUGGGAUUUAACUUGGCAUUUCAUCAGAAAGAGGAGAAGAUGCAUGUGUUUUCACAUCUUCUCAUUUCUGACCGUCUGAGCAUCAGUCAGCACCCCAAGUUAUCAAGUCAGAAUGCAGUGGAACUGUUCUGUGAGGUGUGGAGCCACAUUCCUGAUUCGGGUUCCUUGGAGCCCUGAGCAGACGGAUCUCCCGUGGACCCGCUGGAACACGGAGCUGAGAGCCUGCUCCGUGUCAGUGAGGCCACUGUGGCUUUCAGGGCAUUUGACAUCGAGCUCGUGUUUCUGGGGACCCAGAAGAAGAGCCUUCAGGGCUCUUUGAGGAAGGACUUGCAAGAGAAGAAUCCUCCACCCCAAGGGAACACAGCAUCGUGUCUUGCCUGGUGCGUGCACAGCCCCCUGACUGGUCUAGUGGCUUCCACAGAUGUUCCCUCACCCCCUCUGCACUCCUGGGGCAGACUGAAUGAGCUUUUAAAGAAACACAUCUCGUCCUUUGCCCCUUCUGCUGGGGACCUGCCCUGCUCCCCUCACACCUGAUUGUUGAAGCACGUGUGGACGACUCACCAGGCCCUUGUUGGCGCAUCGGCAGACUGGAAACCCUGCUCGCCCUUUCCACGUGGACCAGUGUCCUCAUGCCCGGGCCUGGCCAGGGGCUCGCUCCCCAUGUCUGAGGGCGCCGAGUCCCCGCUGCGGCCGCUGGCUCAGGGCCCAACUGGGGUCCGAUGGAGGGGGCGGCAGAGCGGGGCUGCAGUGCAGGAGUGCUUCCUGGUGGCAAUGGUGAGGCGGCCUCCUGAGGACGCUGGUGAUGGGGCGGCGUCUCCCCUCCACUUUCCUCUUGUGUCUUCAUCGGUAAGGAUGUUUGAACACGAGUGACCCUGACUGACCCUGGCUGCUUGAUGCAGAAGAGGAAACAGCUCGGGUGACCUGGAAGGGCAGUGGGGGCAGGGCUGACUGAAUGCCAUCAGAACGUCCCCUCCCAGCUCUGGUGGCAGCUUCACUGCAGCCGGAUAGAGGGUGCACAGCCGGCUGGGUCCCUGGUGACAGGAGUCCCCUCCAGGGGGCUGGUGCCCUUGGUGAAAAUCAGGGUGCAAUGAGCCAAGAGAUGGGUCUGGAGAUGCGGGUGCAAGUUCUCCUGAGCUCUGGGCCAGGCGGGUGGGCGGGGCGUGGGCACAGGGCGGGGGGGCCAGGGGGGCAGGUGAGCGAGGCCCAGGUGACGUACUUGUGAACCUCUUCAGCGGGGCGCUAGUAGGUCAACGUGAGGCAGAGGGAUGGACAGAAAUGUGAGUCAGCGGGUGAGGGGCAUGGAGGUCACCGGUUAGGACCCUCCUGGGCAGCUCCGCGGGGCAGAAGCCAGGCCCCUUAAAGCCUACUUUCCACUCUGAGUGGAACUGAUCGCCGUUAGCGGAAAAUAAAAUGGAAACGUUUGGCCUGUUAGUCGUGACAGCCCUGGAGCCAGGCUCUAAAUUAGAUCAGCCUCUCGCAGUGUUUUAAACCUGUGCCGGCUCUCACAGAAUAGAAAAUAUUAUCUCCUUGGGAGGUGCUGCUGCGGGCCCCUCGGGGCCAUGUCUCUGGUUGAGGAGCUGGGUAUCUGCAAAUGUUCCAUCCGAGGACGUGUUAGGGAAGUCCGCUUUGCAGUUUGUGUUAUUAAAACAAUAUUUUUCCCAGCGGAAGACUGUUUGAGAGAGACACAGAGAGAGAGAGAGAGACAGAGAUUACUUCUAUCGAUCAUAAACUCUUUUGGUCAGACCUAGGCUAUAAAGCAGUUUAAUAAAUUAGCAAGGAAGGUUUUUUUCUGGCUGUGGAAAAUGUGUGUCUCCUGAGAAAUGCUGUUGGAAACAAGCGGUUAGGAUGGUUAGUGCUCACCCUGUACUGUUACAGAGGAUGUGGCCGCAAAGCCCGCUGCCCCGGCCCUACAGCCGAUGACUCAGGAGUGGGAGUGGGGAGGACACAGCGUGUAGCCUCGGCAUCCAGGUGAAGAGUGGGCUACCGUUCUGGGCACUGACUUGACAUGCGACCCCAGUGGAUCCCCCUUUCCGGCUCCCCUCGCAGCCCCCUCUCCUCCCACCUCCCAGAGCACAGGGCCUCCAGCCUCCAGCCAGGACCCCCCGGUGGAGUCCCCACCGCGGUGAGGGGACGGCUCCUGUGAGAACAUCCCGUGGGGCAGGGGCGGCUGGAGCUCUGCUGAACUUCACUCGUGCCCCUGGGCCCUGCUGCUCAGCCUCGGCAGAGAGGGGCUGUGAGGCCCUGCCUGAGCACCAGGCCAGCGUGACUCUGCGGGCCGCACUCAGGCCUGGGUGCUCGGCGCAGGGGGAAUGGGGAGUGGGCGUCCCCAUCGCUGUCCUUGCGGCCAGACCUGCCCACGUGCUCUCCUGGGGCAGCCGCCUUUCUCCCGGGCGGUAUCUGGACGGGGGUCCUGUGGGCCGACAGCCCGAUACGUGGUGUUAAGUUCUGUGAGGGCCUGACGUUUUACUUCUGGUUCCCUUCCCUCUUAGUCUCCCCUGGCAGCAGCGGCAUUUGAGGGUACGAGGGUGAGAAGUAUGUGAUUUUGUGCUUGUUCAGAACCAACAGCCAGCCCGAUGGGAACUCACUUUGCUCACCACCGGACCCAAGGAGGGCAGUCCAGGGCUGGUGUGGCCGCCGAGGUGCCCUGAGCAUCUGCCACGGCGUGUGGCCUGGGCAUCCCAUGCUCCUCUGUGCUACAAGAGGGCUGCUCCACCUCUCCCAUCACAGCUGUGUUCCUGGCGAGACAACAGUGAGGCCGAGUCCACCCCUUAAAGGAACCCGCCACCUAGGAUUCCCGCUCCUCUGCCCCCAUCGGGUUGGUGGGAACCAUGCAGGUG